CCUACGGGGGGCAGCAGUGGGGAAUUUUGGUCAAUGGCCGCAAGGCUGAACCAGCGACGCCGCGUGCGGGAGGAAGCCCCUCGGGGUGUAAACCGCUGUCAGAGGGGACGAAACGCAGGGUGGUGAACAGCCAUCCCGCCUGACGGUACCCUCAAAGGAAGCGCCGGCUAACUCCGUGCCAGCAGCCGCGGUAAGACGGAGGGCGCAAGCGUUGUUCGGAAUUACUGGGCGUAAAGCGCGCGCAGGCGGGUGAUGUAAGUCGGGAGUGAAAGACCGGGGCUCAACCCCGGAGCGGCUUCCGAGACUGCACACCUGGAGACCGGUAGGGGCAGGCGGAAUUCCCGGUGUAGCGGUGGAAUGCGUAGAUAUCGGGAAGAACACCGGUGGCGAAGGCGGCCUGCUGGGCCGGUUCUGACGCUGAGGCGCGAAAGCGUGGGGAG
rnacentral:rRNA from 1 species